GGUUGUUUAGUUUGAUGGUACAGAGCUCUCAGCUGGAAUCUGAGAGGUGCAGGGUUCGAUUCUCUAUAGCAGUCU
rnacentral:tRNA from 1 species